rnacentral:rRNA from 1 species
GACGAACGCUGGCGGCGUGCUUAACACAUGCAAGUCGAACGGAAAGGCCCUGCUUUUGUGGGGUGCUCGAGUGGCGAACGGGUGAGUAACACGUGAGUAACCUGCCCUUGACUUUGGGAUAACUUCAGGAAACUGGGGCUAAUACCGGAUAGGAGCUCCUGCUGCAUGGUGGGGGUUGGAAAGUUUCGGCGGUUGGGGAUGGACUCGCGGCUUAUCAGCUUGUUGGUGGGGUAGUGGCUUACCAAGGCUUUGACGGGUAGCCGGCCUGAGAGGGUGACCGGCCACAUUGGGACUGAGAUACGGCCCAGACUCCUACGGGAGGCAGCAGUGGGGAAUAUUGCACAAUGGGCGGAAGCCUGAUGCAGCAACGCCGCGUGCGGGAUGACGGCCUUCGGGUUGUAAACCGCUUUCGCCUGUGACGAAGCGUGAGUGACGGUAAUGGGUAAAGAAGCACCGGCUAACUACGUGCCAGCAGCCGCGGUGAUACGUAGGGUGCGAGCGUUGUCCGGAUUUAUUGGGCGUAAAGGGCUCGUAGGUGGUUGAUCGCGUCGGAAGUGUAAUCUUGGGGCUUAACCCUGAGCGUGCUUUCGAUACGGGUUGACUUGAGGAAUUUAGGGGAGAAUGGAAUUCCUGGUGGAGCGGUGGAAUGCGCAGAUAUCAGGAGGAACACCAGUGGCGAAGGCGGUUCUCUGGGCCUUUCCUGACGCUGAGGAGCGAAAGCGUGGGGAGCGAACAGGCUUAGAUACCCUGGUAGUCCACGCUGUAAACGGUGGGUACUAGGUGUGGGGUCCAUUCCACGGGUUCCGUGCCGUAGCUAACGCUUUAAGUACCCCGCCUGGGGAGUACGGCCGCAAGGCUAAAACUCAAAGGAAUUGACGGGGCCCCGCACAAGCGGCGGAGCAUGCGGAUUAAUUCGAUGCAACGCGUAGAACCUUACCUGGGUUUGACAUGGAUCGGGAGUGCUCAGAGAUGGGUGUGCCUCUUUUGGGGUCGGUUCACAGGUGGUGCAUGGCUGUCGUCAGCUCGUGUCGUGAGAUGUUGGGUUAAGUCCCGCAACGAGCGCAACCCUUGUUCACUGUUGCCAGCACGUUAUGGUGGGGACUCAGUGGAGACCGCCGGGGUCAACUCGGAGGAAGGUGGGGAUGACGUCAAGUCAUCAUGCCCCUUAUGUCCAGGGCUUCACGCAUGCUACAAUGGCUGGUACAGAGAGUGGCGAGCCUGUGAGGGUGAGCGAAUCUCGGAAAGCCGGUCUCAGUUCGGAUUGGGGUCUGCAACUCGACCUCAUGAAGUCGGAGUCGCUAGUAAUCGCAGAUCAGCAACGCUGCGGUGAAUACGUUCCCGGG